rnacentral:piRNA from 1 species
UGCAAGAAAGUAGGUGGACUAUCUCUGG